GACGAACGCUGGCGGCGUGCUUAACACAUGCAAGUCGAACGGAGAGGCCCUGCUUUUGUUGGGUGCUCGAUUGGCGAACGGGGGAGUAACACGUGAGUAACCUGCCCCUGACUUUGGGAUAACUUCAGGAAACUGGGGCGAAUACCGGAUAGGAGCUCCUGCUGCAUGGGGGGGGAUGGAAAGUUUCGGCGGUUGGGGAUGGACUAGCUGCUUAUCAGCUUGUUGGUGGGGUAGUGGCUUACCAAGGUUUUGACGGGUAGCCGGCCUGGGAGGGUGACCGGCGACCUUGGGCCUGCGGUAGGGACCAGACUCCUACGGGAGGCAGCAGUGGGGAAUAUUGCACAAUGGGCGGAAGCCUGAUGCAGCAGCGCCGCGUGCGGGAUGACGGCCUUCGGGUUGUAAACCGCUUUCGCCUGUGACGAAGCGUGAGUGACGGUAAUGGGUAAAGAAGCACCGGCUAACUACGUG
rnacentral:rRNA from 1 species